rnacentral:lncRNA from 1 species
GCUAAUUGUUACAUCAAUGCCACCUUUUAUGUUAUGAUGCAUAUAUAACAUUUCCACAUGUAAUAUUCUUUUCAAGUGUAAUAACACACAUAAUUAAAGCUUUUAUCUUAAGGCAAGGUGAGUGACCAAAGUGGAUCUACAUUUAACAUCAGUAUUACUUGGGCACAAUAAACAAACACUAAAAUGAUGGAUUCUAUAUGAAUUUUCAUAUUUUUCUAUUGUAAUAGCAAACACUUUAUUGAGGUUUUCAAUUGCCAGUUCAUAAGCAGGUGUCAGACUGACCCACAUAAGAAUAAUGUAUAGAACUUGCUAAAAUAAAAGAUUUCUGCUUCCUAUACCUAGCAUUUGUGAUUCAGCAGGACUGGUGUGAGUUCUAUGAAUCCCUAUUUUAAUAACUCUUCAGAAUUUUUAAACACCUUAGAUGAUAUUAAUAGAUUACUUCUGUCCACCUUUUACUCUGUACUUGUAAGGAAUGUGAUGGGGUUCAGGGCAGGCCUCCCCAAGAUGCACCACUCUGGUAUGUGGACUAUUUCGAGCUGAAUACAAUAAAGACUCAGAAGACUCAGGAAGAGCAUCCGACCGACCUUCCUGCCCCCAAACUGCCUGAAAGACUUUAACAGAGAAGGCCUGUUCCAGGAAGGAGCUCAUACCAUGUGAUAGCUAUGGCAUGAUGUAAAAUAGGUGUGAUAAAAGGACACCUACAAACCCAUUUUCUUGGCCCAGCAAAACCUGUUUAACUAACAUUUGCAUUCCAUCUCUGUGUAGAUUGUCUUACUCUACUUUGAAGCCCCAAAUCAAUAUCCCCAGUGUCCUCCUUGUCUGUAGGUAAAGAUAUUUAAACAGGCAGCCUUGGCCAGAUGGUUGAGUUGCUCAGUUUCUCCUGAGUUUCUCCUGUGUAUACAUGCUGUUAAACUGUUUGAUUUUCUCCUGCCUCUUUAAUUAUUUGACCAGCCAUAAGAACCUUCAGGAAGAGUCGGGGGGUUGGGGGGGUGGUGUGGAUUCUCCCACCUCCCCAACAACUGUUUUAAGCCAGAGCUCUCUGGAAGACCUCACACUGCUGUCCCGGACUCCAAGUGCCCCCGAGCCUCACGACUCUAUGCUUAGGGGGCUACCUCUUCGUUGCUGUGACUCGGUGGAAGUUGGGAGCAGUUUGUCUGCUCCUUGCAUCUCUUCAGGUGGCCAAGAGGAGAACUCCUACCCCAUCAGGACUGCUCCAGGUCUCUACCUGUCUCAGAGAUCACUCCGAAGCCUGCGGAGGGCAUAAACCCUUCCCAGGAACAUUAGGUUUGGGGACAUUUGUUCCUUUAGACAAAGCCCCACUAAUUUGACCUUGUGUACUUUGUUCCAAGCUUGAGUCAGUGAGUCGUGACUCUGGGCACAUUAUUCUCCAGUAACCCAGUAAUAAUGGGAAAAACACACUAAAUAAUGGAACAUAAUUUUAUUGGAAAAGGUUUUACUACAUGAAAAUUAAUAAAAGACUUUCAAAGAGAGAUUUCA